CGUUGGCGGNGCGCCUUAUGCACGCAAGUCGAACGGGGUUACGGUUUUCGGAUUGUAACUUAGUGGCGAACGGCUGAGUAACACGUAAGUAACCUGUCUUUGAGUGGGAAAUAACCUGCCGAAAGGCAGGCUAAUGUCCCAUGUGGUAGUUAAGCAUAUGCUUGGCUAUUAAAGCCUUCGGGCGCUCGGAGAGGGGCUUGCGUCCGAUUAGCUUGUUGGUGGGGUAAAGGCCUACCAAGGCAGUGAUCGGUAGCUGGUCUGAGAGGAUGGCCAGCCAGAUGGGGACUGAGACACGGCCCCAACUCCUACGGGAGGCAGCAGCAAGGAAUUUUGGGCAAUGAGCGAAAGCUUGACCCAGCGACACCGCGUGAGGGAGGAAGGCCUUCGGGUUGUAAACCUCUUUUCUUGGGGAAGAAUUCUGACGGUACCCAAGGAAUAAGCCUCGGCCAACUACGUGCCAGCAGCCGCGGUAAUACGUAGGAGGCGAACGUUAUUCGGAAUUACUGGGCGUAAAGGGCGUGUAGGCGGCCUAUCAAGUCAGCUGUGAAAUUCCCCGGCUCAACCGGGGGUCUGCAGUUGAAACUGGUGGGCUUGAGUGCAGGAGAGGAAGGUGGAAUUCCCGGUGUAGCGGUGAAAUGCGUAGAUAUCGGGAGGNAACACCGGUGGCGAANGCGGCCUUCUGGCCUGUAACUGACGCUGAGGCGCGAAAGCUAGGGGAGCAAACAGGAUUAGAUACCCUGGUAGUCCUAGCUGUAAACGCUGGGUACUAGGUGUAGGGGGUUUAGACGCUCUCUGUGCCGUAGUAACGCA
rnacentral:rRNA from 1 species